AGGAUGAGGAAGAGAAAAUCAAAUUCCUGAGCAGCAUCUGCACGCUGUGCAAAUGCAAGGACGAGUCACUCAAUUUGGAUGCUUUCUGCCAAGAACACCAGCUGGCAGUGAAUGUCCAGGCGCUGAUCGAUGAGGAGCCCCAGGAGUCUUUGUCCUCAGCGAUAAAGCAGGAAGCCAUGAUGAGCUUUGCCAACAUGAGCACUGUGGAGACAGCACUGGAAGGCAAAACGGAGAGCAUCCUGAACUCCUGCUUCAACAGCGUCUUCUUUUUGCCUCCGGAACUGUCCAUAGAAGAAAAGGAGAAAAAGCUCUACCUUGAGACCAUGACUGCCAUGAACACCAUGCUACAAGCCAUGAUGCAGAACUGCCCCGACAGGAGAAUGAGAGAGGAGCUGCACAGCAUCUUUCAGGUCUGGCAGUUGCAAAGAGCGGGGCCACUAGGAGGGAUGCCAAUGUCCUUACUGCAGUGACACAGACCCUCCUUGCACGUGAUGGGCCUGCAAAGGAUCCCGCCCCUGCUGCUCCGUUCUUCCUUCCCCGU
rnacentral:lncRNA from 1 species